GGGGCUGCCAACAGAGCCAGUGUGCUUGCAGGUUUCAAAUCCACACGCUGGGGCCGUGAGCCGGGCCAGGUCAGGUCAGAUCGCUCAGCUGAGCAUUCUGGGUACGCUAGAAGAAAAUACUUGCUUUUCCGUGAUUGCCGAGGAAUGGAUGUGCUCAAGUAACUUCUAGCGGGUCAGUGAGGUGACUAUUUCCGGAGGCCCUCUCGCCUCUCUCGGUUCCUCCCUGUGGUUGCAGGAGGCUGGCUGCGGGCCACUGGUGGAGCCGGCCCUGGAUACCGAGAGUCUCGCCUCCGGGAUGGGCUGUGGGCCACAGACAUUGGCGUCUGGCGACUCUCUCUGGUGGCCAGCGUCUUCAGGUUCUCAAAUCCCGGUGGUGGAAGUCCCUCGUUCUGACUGUGCCAUGGAGUGUCAGUGUGCCGAAACUAAAAUGCUUGGCCAGCUUUUCUUUUCCUUUCUACAAUUUUAAUUGUGGUAAAAUACACAUCACACAAAAUAUUCCACUUUAAAAUACCACUUUAACCGUUUUGAAGUGGAUAGCUAGGAGGCAUUCAGCACAUUCACGGUGUUGUGCAGCCAUCACCACCGUCUGUCACCGGAGACCUUUGUCCUCCCAAACUAAAGCCCUGUCCCCGUUCAGCACCAACUGCCCGCACUCCUCAGCCCAAGGCAACCACCAUUCUACUUCCUGUCUCUAUGAAUUUGACUACUCUAAGGGCCUCAUGGAAGUGGAAUCUCACAGUAUUUGUCUUUUUGUAUCUGGCCGACUUCACUUGGCAUGAUGUCCUCAAGGGUCAUCCAUCUUGUAGCUCGGCUCAGAAUUUCCUCCCUUUCGAAGGCUGAAUCGUAUUCUGUGGCACGCGUGGACCGCGUCUGCAUAUCCAUCCAUGGAUGGGCGCUUGGGCUGCUUUCACCUUUUGGCUGCUGUGGAUAGUGCUGCUAUCAGCCAGGUGCGGUGGCUCACGCCUCUCAUCCCAGCACCUUGGGAGGCUGAGGUGGGAGGAUCCCUUGAGCCCAGGAGUUCGAGACCAGCCUGGGCAACAUACUGAGACGUCCUCUCUACAAAAAACAAAAAGGGUAGCUGGGUGUGGUGACGCAUGCUUGUAGUCCCAGCUACUUGAGAGGCUGAGGCAGGAGGAUCGCCUGAGCCCAGGAGGUGGAGGCUGCAAUGAGCCAGGACCACACCACUGCACUUGGGCCUGGGCAACAGAGUGAGGGCUUGUCUCAAAUAAUAAUAAUAAAAAUAAUUAAUGCUGUCAGUAUGGAUGUUCAAAUACCCCAUUGACUCUGCUUUCAAUUUUGGGGGGUAUUACCCAGAAGUGGGGUUGCUGGGUAAUUUUAUGUUUCAUUUUUUGAAGAACCAUCACAAUAUUUGCUUGCUUCAAAAAAAAAAAAAAAAAAAAAAAAA
rnacentral:lncRNA from 1 species